AUUGAACGCUGGCGGCAGGCCUAACACAUGCAAGUCGAGCGAGCGGCGGACGGGUGAGUAAUGUAUGGGGACUGCCCGAUAGAGGGGGAUAACUACUGGAAACGGUAGCUAAUACCGCAUAUUAUCGGAUAACCCAUAUGGGAUUAGCGCGUAGGUGAGGGAAUGGCUCACCUAGGCGACGAUCCCUAGCUGGUCUGAGAGGAUGAUCAGCAACACUGGGACUGAGACACGGCCCAGACUCCUACGGAGGCAGCAGUGGGGAAUAUUGCACAAUGGGAGAAAGCCUGAUACAGACAUGCCGCGUGUAUGAAGAAGGCCAUAGGGUUGUAAAGUACUUUCAGUCGGGAGGCGUUACCGACAGAAGAAGCACCGGCUAACUCCGUGCCAGCAGCCGCGGUAGUUG
rnacentral:rRNA from 1 species